UAGGGAAUCUUCCGCAAUGGACGCAAGUCUGACGGAGCAACGCCGCGUGAGUGAAGAAGGAUUUCGGUUCGUAAAACUCUGUUGUUAGAGAAGAACAGCGCAUAGAGUAACUGUUAUGCGUGUGACGGUAUCUAACCAGAAAGCCACGGCUAACUACGUGCCAGCAGCCGCGGUAAUACGUAGGUGGCAAGCGUUGUCCGGAUUUAUUGGGCGUAAAGCGAGCGCAGGCGGUCAAUUAAGUCUGAUGUGAAAGCCCCCGGCUCAACCGGGGAGGGUCAUUGGAAACUGGUUGACUUGAGUGCAGAAGAGGAGAGUGGAAUUCCAUGUGUAGCGGUGAAAUGCGUAGAUAUAUAGAGGAACACCAGUGGCGAAGGCGACUCUCUGGUCUGUAACUGACGCUGAGGCUCGAAAGCGUGGGUAGCAAACAGG
rnacentral:rRNA from 1 species